CGCGUAGGCGGCCUGUUAAGUCUGGGGUGAAAUCUCCCGGCUCAACCGGGAGGGGUCCUCGGAUACUGGCAGGCUGGAGGGGAGCAGAGGAGAGCGGAAUUCCCGGUGUAGUGGUGAAAUGCGUAGAUAUCGGGAGGAACACCAGUGGCGAAGGCGGCUCUCUGGGCUCUACCUGACGCUGAGGUGCGAAAGCGUGGGGAGCGAACCGGAUUAGAUACCCGGGUAGUCCACGCUGUAAACGAUGGACACUAGGUGUGGGAGGUAUCGACCCCUUCCGUGCCGAAGCCAACGCUAUAAGUGUCCCGCCUGGGGAGUACGGCCGCAAGGCUAAA
rnacentral:rRNA from 1 species